GAUGAAGAACGGAGCGAAAUGCGAUACUUGGUGUGAAUUGCAGAAUCCCGUGAACCAUCGAGUCUUUGAACGCAAGUUGCGCCCGAAGCCAUCAGGUUGAGGGCACGUCUGCCUGGGCGUCACAUAUCGUUGCCCAAUGCCUAUUGCAGUGCAAUAGGAAUUUCUAGGGCGAAUGAUGGCUUCCCGUGAGCGUUGUUGCCUCGCGGUUGGUUGAAAAUCGAGUCCUUGGUAGGGUGUGCCAUGGUAGAUGGUGGUCGAGUUAGAACGAUACCGAUCAUGUGCAUGCUCCCCAAAAUAUGGCCUCUAUGACCCACACGCGUCUUUUGACGCUCAUGACGAGACCUCAGGUCAGGCGGGGCUACCAGCUGAAUUUAAGCAUAUCAAUAAGCGGAGGA
rnacentral:misc_RNA from 1 species